rnacentral:rRNA from 1 species
UUAAAUUGAAGAGUUUGAUCAUGGCUCAGAUUGAACGCUGGCGGCAGGCCUAACACAUGCAAGUCGAACGGUAACAGGAAGCAGCUUGCUGCUUUGCUGACGAGUGGCGGACGGGUGAGUAAUGUCUGGGAAACUGCCUGAUGGAGGGGGAUAACUACUGGAAACGGUGGCUAAUACCGCAUAACGUCGCAAGACCAAAGAGGGGGACCUUCGGGCCUCUUGCCAUCAGAUGUGCCCAGAUGGGAUUAGCUGGUUGGUGAGGUAACGGCUCACCAAGGCGACGAUCCCUAGCUGGUCUGAGAGGAUGACCAGCCACACUGGAACUGAGACACGGUCCAGACUCCUACGGGAGGCAGCAGUGGGGAAUAUUGCACAAUGGGCGCAAGCCUGAUGCAGCCAUGCCGCGUGUAUGAAGAAGGCCUUCGGGUUGUAAAGUACUUUCAGCGGGGAGGAAGGUGUUGUGGUUAAUAACCGCAGCAAUUGACGUUACCCGCAGAAGAAGCACCGGCUAACUCCGUGCCAGCAGCCGCGGUAAUACGGAGGGUGCAAGCGUUAAUCGGAAUUACUGGGCGUAAAGCGCACGCAGGCGGUCUGUCAAGUCGGAUGUGAAAUCCCCGGGCUCAACCUGGGAACUGCAUUCGAAACUGGCAGGCUUGAGUCUUGUAGAGGGGGGUAGAAUUCCAGGUGUAGCGGUGAAAUGCGUAGAGAUCUGGAGGAAUACCGGUGGCGAAGGCGGCCCCCUGGACAAAGACUGACGCUCAGGUGCGAAAGCGUGGGGAGCAAACAGGAUUAGAUACCCUGGUAGUCCACGCCGUAAACGAUGUCUACUUGGAGGUUGUGCCCUUGAGGCGUGGCUUCCGGAGCUAACGCGUUAAGUAGACCGCCUGGGGAGUACGGCCGCAAGGUUAAAACUCAAAUGAAUUGACGGGGGCCCGCACAAGCGGUGGAGCAUGUGGUUUAAUUCGAUGCAACGCGAAGAACCUUACCUGGUCUUGACAUCCACGGAAGUUUUCAGAGAUGAGAAUGUGCCUUCGGGAACCGUGAGACAGGUGCUGCAUGGCUGUCGUCAGCUCGUGUUGUGAAAUGUUGGGUUAAGUCCCGCAACGAGCGCAACCCUUAUCCUUUGUUGCCAGCGGUCCGGCCGGGAACUCAAAGGAGACUGCCAGUGAUAAACUGGAGGAAGGUGGGGAUGACGUCAAGUCAUCAUGGCCCUUACGACCAGGGCUACACACGUGCUACAAUGGCGCAUACAAAGAGAAGCGACCUCGCGAGAGCAAGCGGACCUCAUAAAGUGCGUCGUAGUCCGGAUUGGAGUCUGCAACUCGACUCCAUGAAGUCGGAAUCGCUAGUAAUCGUGGAUCAGAAUGCCACGGUGAAUACGUUCCCGGGCCUUGUACACACCGCCCGUCACACCAUGGGAGUGGGUUGCAAAAGAAGUAGGUAGCUUAACCUUCGGGAGGGCGCUUACCACUUUGUGAUUCAUGACUGGGGUGAAGUCGUAACAAGGUAACCGUAGGGGAACCUGCGGUUGGAUCACCUCCUUACCUUAAAGAAGC